UAUUUUGAGUUUUGUGCAAUUAAUUGAGCAAUAUUUCGUAAAUUUAGAAACUAAGUUAUUUUCUUUGGAAUUCACGAGGCCGGUUUCCUCUAGUCUUCUCGUGACUUCUUUAAUUGGAAACCAAACCCCAUCUUCUUCUCUCUCUCUUCCGUGGUACUCUUAAAAUCCCAAAACCAAUUGCUCCCAAAAACCCCAACCUCGAGAAACCUGAACCCAACUUCUUCCUCUAUCCUCUCGCCCGAGGUUGUCAGAGCUCUACCCUUUUGCCUCGCCGACGUCCUUAGCUUACCGGGAGCCGUGCCGAUCUGCAGUGCUUUGCUUCACUCUCUCCCUCUUCGUCCUCCUCGUGCCCUGAUCCUGUUUGUCAAUGUCCGUCGGUUGCUGCUGCUCGUUGCUCUGUUCGCGGUUGUGGUUCACUGUGACGCAUCACCAGCUUGCUGCUGCAGCUCCGCCUGAUUACUGUCGCUCGUCGGUUCUCCGUCGCUGUGUACCAAAGCUUUGAAACCCCCUUAACCCUCUGUUUUGUGGCUUUGUUCUUCACUCCUCUUGUGAGCAAAGGUUUGGUGUUGUGAGCUCGAAAUUGAAAGUGGAGCAAAAGAUGUUGUUGUAGAUAUGGAUUGACUUUUUAUUUAGAUAACUGAUUCGAAAAUAGUUUUUCUUAUAUUUCAUUGUAUAUACUAUUUGGGAAUUUAGUCGAGUUAUUUGUGUAUUUAAGAAUAUUUUUCCGCUGCGAAAUAAUUUAUUUAAGAGUUAAUUCUAGUUUA